rnacentral:rRNA from 1 species
AUUGAACGCUGGCGGCAGCCCUAACACAUGCAAGUCGAGCGGAUGAAGGGAGCUUGCUCCUGGAUUCAGCGGCGGACGGGUGAGUAAUGCCUAGGAAUCUGCCUGGUAGUGGGGGACAACGUCCGGAAACGGGCGCUAAUACCGCAUACGUCCUGAGGGAGAAAGUGGGGGAUCUUCGGACCUCACGCUAUCAGAUGAGCCUAGGUCGGAUUAGCUAGUUGGUGGGGUAACGGCCUACCAAGGCGACGAUCCGUAACUGGUCUGAGAGGAUGAUCAGUCACACUGGAACUGAGACACGGUCCAGACUCCUACGGGAGGCAGCAGUGGGGAAUAUUGGACAAUGGGCGAAAGCCUGAUCCAGCCAUGCCGCGUGUGUGAAGAAGGUCUUCAGAUUGUAAAGCACUUUAAGUUGGGAGGAAGGGCAGUAAGUUAAUACCUUGCUGUUUUGACGUUACCAACAGAAUAAGCACCGGCUAACUUCGUG